AUUCCAGCUCCAAUAGCGUAUAUUAAAGUUGUUGCAGUUAAAAAGCUCGUAGUUGGAUUUCGGAACCGGCCGAUUGGUCCGUCCUCUGGAUCGUGUACUGAUCGGUCUGUUCUUCUUCGCGAAGACCGCGUGUGCCCUUAACUGGGUGGGCGCGGGAUUCGCGACGUUUACUUUGAAAAAAUUAGAGUGUUCAAAGCAGGCAGUCGCUUGAAUAUCUCAGCAUGGGAUAAUAGAAUAGGACUUUGGUCUUAUUUUGUUGGUUUCCGAGACCGAAGUAAUGAUUAAUAGGGACAGUUGGGGGCAUUCGUAUUUCAUUGUCAGAGGUGAAAUUCUUGGAUUUAUGAAAGACGAACUUCUGCGAAAGCAUUUGCCAAGGAUGUUUUCAUUA
rnacentral:rRNA from 1 species